UGGGGAAUUUUGGACAAUGGGCGAAAGCCUGAUCCAGCAAUGCCGCGUGUGUGAAGAAGGCCUUCGGGUUGUAAAGCACUUUUGUCCGGAAAGAAAUGGCUCUGGUUAAUACCUGGGGUCGAUGACGGUACCGGAAGAAUAAGGACCGGCUAACUACGUGCCAGCAGCCGCGGUAAUACGUAGGGUCCAAGCGUUAAUCGGAAUUACUGGGCGUAAAGUGUGCGCAGGCGGUUGUGCAAGACCGAUGUGAAAUCCCCGAGCUUAACUUGGGAAUUGCAUUGGUGACUGCACGGCUAGAGUGUGUCAGAGGGGGGUAGAAUUCCACGUGUAGCAGUGAAAUGCGUAGAGAUGUGGAGGAAUACCGAUGGCGAAGGCAGCCCCCUGGGAUAACACUGACGCUCAUGCACGAAAGCGUGGGGAGCAAACAGG
rnacentral:rRNA from 2 species